UACGUAGGGCGCAAGCGUUAUCCGGAAUUAUUGGGCGUAAAGAGCUCGUAGGCGGUUUGUCGCGUCUGCCGUGAAAGUCCGGGGCUCAACUCCGGAUCUGCGGUGGGUACGGGCAGACUAGAGUGAUGUAGGGGAGACUGGAAUUCCCGGUGUAGCGGUGAAAUGCGCAGAUAUCGGGAAGAACACCCGUGGCGAAGGCGGCUCUCUGGGACGGUACGUGACGCUGAGACGCGAAAGCGUGGGGAGCGAACAGG
rnacentral:rRNA from 1 species